rnacentral:rRNA from 1 species
GCUUGCUUGUUGGGGUUGUAGGACACUCUAUACGGAGUUACAAAGGACGACAUUAGACGAAUCAUCUGGAAAGAUGAAUCAAAGAAGGUAAUAAUCCUGUAGUCGAAAAUGUUGUCUCUCUUGAGUGGAUCCUGAGUACGACGGAGCACGUGAAAUUCCGUCGGAAUCUGGGAGGACCAUCUCCUAAGGCUAAAUACUCUCUAGUGACCGAUAGUGAACCAGUACCGUGAGGGAAAGGUGAAAAGCACCCCGGAAGGGGAGUGAAAUAGAACCUGAAACCGUGUGCUUACAAGUAGUCAGAGCCCGUUAAUGGGUGAUGGCGUGCCUUUUGUAGAAUGAACCGGCGAGUUACGAUUUGAUGCAAGGUUAAGCAGUAAAUGUGGAGCCGUAGCGAAAGCGAGUCUGAAUAGGGCGUUUAGUAUUUGGUCGUAGACCCGAAACCAGGUGAUCUACCCUUGGUCAGGUUGAAGUUCAGGUAACACUGAAUGGAGGACCGAACCGACUUACGUUGAAAAGUGAGCGGAUGAACUGAGGGUAGCGGAGAAAUUCCAAUCGAACCUGGAGAUAGCUGGUUCUCUCCGAAAUAGCUUUAGGGCUAGCCUCAAGUGAUGAUUAUUGGAGGUAGAGCACUGUUUGGACGAGGGGCCCCUCUCGGGUUACCGAAUUCAGACAAACUCCGAAUGCCAAUUAAUUUAACUUGGGAGUCAGAACAUGGGUGAUAAGGUCCGUGUUCGAAAGGGAAACAGCCCAGACCACCAGCUAAGGUCCCAAAAUAUAUGUUAAGUGGAAAAGGAUGUGGCGUUGCCCAGACAACUAGGAUGUUGGCUUAGAAGCAGCCAUCAUUUAAAGAGUGCGUAAUAGCUCACUAGUCGAGUGACACUGCGCCGAAAAUGUACCGGGGCUAAACAUAUUACCGAAGCUGUGGAUUGUCCUUUGGACAAUGGUAGGAGAGCGUUCUAAGGGCGUUGAAGCAUGAUCGUAAGGACAUGUGGAGCGCUUAGAAGUGAGAAUGCCGGUGUGAGUAGCGAAAGACGGGUGAGAAUCCCGUCCACCGAUUGACUAAGGUUUCCAGAGGAAGGCUCGUCCGCUCUGGGUUAGUCGGGUCCUAAGCUGAGGCCGACAGGCGUAGGCGAUGGAUAACAGGUUGAUAUUCCUGUACCACCUAUAAUCGUUUUAAUCGAUGGGGGGACGCAGUAGGAUAGGCGAAGCGUGCGAUUGGAUUGCACGUCUAAGCAGUAAGGCUGAGUAUUAGGCAAACCCGGUACUCGUUAAGGCUGAGCUGUGAUGGGGAGAAGACAUUGUGUCUUCGAGUCGUUGAUUUCACACUGCCGAGAAAAGCCUCUAGAUAGAAAAUAGGUGCCCGUACCGCAAACCGACACAGGUAGUCAAGAUGAGAAUUCUAAGGUGAGCGAGCGAACUCUCGUUAAGGAACUCGGCAAAAUGACCCCGUAACUUCGGGAGAAGGGGUGCUCUUUAGGGUUAACGCCCAGAAGAGCCGCAGUGAAUAGGCCCAAGCGACUGUUUAUCAAAAACACAGGUCUCUGCUAAACCGUAAGGUGAUGUAUAGGGGCUGACGCCUGCCCGGUGCUGGAAGGUUAAGAGGAGUGGUUAGCUUCUGCGAAGCUACGAAUCGAAGCCCCAGUAAACGGCGGCCGUAACUAUAACGGUCCUAAGGUAGCGAAAUUCCUUGUCGGGUAAGUUCCGACCCGCACGAAAGGCGUAACGAUUUGGGCACUGUCUCAACGAGAGACUCGGUGAAAUCAUAGUACCUGUGAAGAUGCAGGUUACCCGCGACAGGACGGAAAGACCCCGUGGAGCUUUACUGUAGCCUGAUAUUGAAAUUCGGCACAGCUUGUACAGGAUAGGUAGGAGCCUUUGAAACGUGAGCGCUAGCUUACGUGGAGGCGCUGGUGGGAUACUACCCUAGCUGUGUUGGCUUUCUAACCCGCACCACUUAUCGUGGUGGGAGACAGUGUCAGGCGGGCAGUUUGACUGGGGCGGUCGCCUCCUAAAAGGUAACGGAGGCGCUCAAAGGUUCCCUCAGAAUGGUUGGAAAUCAUUCAUAGAGUGUAAAGGCAUAAGGGAGCUUGACUGCGAGACCUACAAGUCGAGCAGGGUCGAAAGACGGACUUAGUGAUCCGGUGGUUCCGCAUGGAAGGGCCAUCGCUCAACGGAUAAAAGCUACCCCGGGGAUAACAGGCUUAUCUCCCCCAAGAGUUCACAUCGACGGGGAGGUUUGGCACCUCGAUGUCGGCUCAUCGCAUCCUGGGGCUGUAGUCGGUCCCAAGGGUUGGGCUGUUCGCCCAUUAAAGCGGUACGCGAGCUGGGUUCAGAACGUCGUGAGACAGUUCGGUCCCUAUCCGUCGUGGGCGUAGGAAAUUUGAGAGGAGCUGUCCUUAGUACGAGAGGACCGGGAUGGACAUACCUCUGGUGUACCAGUUGUCGUGCCAACGGCAUAGCUGGGUAGCUAUGUGUGGACGGGAUAAGUGCUGAAAGCAUCUAAGCAUGAAGCCCCCCUCAAGAUGAGAUUUCCCAACUUCGGUUAUAAGAUCCCUCAAAGAUGAUGAGGUUAAUAGGUUCGAGGUGGAAGCAUGGUGACAUGUGGAGCUGACGAAUACUAAUCGAUCGAAGACUUAAUCAA